UACGGAGGGUGCAAGCGUUGUCCGGAUUUAUUGGGUUUAAAGGGUGCGUAGGCGGCUAAUUAAGUCAGCGGUGAAAUUCCACAGCUUAACUGUGGAACUGCCAUUGAUACUGGUUGGCUUGAGUACAGAUGAGGUAGGCGGAAUUGACAGUGUAGCGGUGAAAUGCUUAGAUAUUGUCAAGAACACCUAUUGCGAAGGCAGCUUACUAAGCUGUAACUGACGCUGAGGCACGAAAGCGUGGGGAUCAAACAGG
rnacentral:rRNA from 2 species